ensembl:snRNA U6 U6 spliceosomal RNA
GCGCUUCCUUCAGCAGCACAUACACUAAAACUGAAAUAAUAUUGAGAAGAUUAGCAUGGUCCCUGCUCAAGAAUGACACAAAAGUUUGUAAAGCAUUCCAUAUUUUU